UACAGAGGUCCCGAGCGUUGUUCGGAUUCAUUGGGCGUAAAGGGUGCGUAGGUGGCGCUGUAAGUGGGGUGUGAAAUCCCGGGGCUUAACCCCGGGACUGCAUUCCAUACUGCGGUGCUUGAGGACUGGAGAGGAGACUGGAAUUUACGGUGUAGCAGUGAAAUGCGUAGAGAUCGUAAGGAAGACCAGUGGCGAAGGCGGGUCUCUGGACAGUUCCUGACACUGAGGCACGAAGGUCAGGGGAGCAAACGGG
rnacentral:rRNA from 1 species